GAUGAACGCUGGCGGCGUGCUUAACACAUGCAAGUCGAACGAAGCACUUUAUUUGAUUUCCUUCGGGACUGAUUAUUUUGUGACUGAGUGGCGGACGGGUGAGUAACGCGUGGGUAACCUGCCUUGUACGGGGGGAUAACAGUUGGAAACGGCUGCUAAUACCGCAUAAGCGCACAGCAUCGCAUGAUGCAGUGUGAAAAACUCCGGUGGUAUAAGAUGGACCCGCGUUGGAUUAGCUAGUUGGUGGGGUAACGGCCCACCAAGGCGACGAUCCAUAGCCGACGUGAGAGGGUGACCGGCCACAUUGGGACUGAGACACGGCCCAAACUCCUACGGGAGGCAGCAGUGGGGAAUAUUGCACAAUGGGCGAAAGCCUGAUGCAGCGACGCCGCGUGGGCGAAGAAGUAUUUCGGUAUGUAAAGCUCUAUCAGCAGGGAAGAUAAUGACGGUACCUGACUAAGAAGCACCGGCUAAAUACGUG
rnacentral:rRNA from 1 species